ACGGGAGGCAGCAGUGGGGAAUAUUGGGCAAUGGACGAAAGUCUGACCCAGCGACGCCGCGUGAGGGAAGAAGGUCUUCGGAUUGUAAACCUUAGUUAUCGGGGAAGAAGAAAGUGACGGUACCCGAAGGGAAAGCCACGGCUAACUACGUGCCAGCAGCCGCGGUAAUACGUAGGUGGCAAGCGUUAUCCGGAUUUACUGGGUGUAAAGGGUGUGUAGGCGGGAUUGCAAGUCAGAUGUGAAAAUUAUGGGCUCAACUCAUAACUUGCAUUUGAAACUGUGAUUCUUGAGUGUCGGAGAGGUAAAUGGAAUUCCCAGUGUAGCGGUGAAAUGCGUAGAUAUUGGGAGGAACACCAGUGGCGAAGGCGGUUUACUGGACGACAACUGACGCUGAGACACGAAAGCGUGGGGAGCAAACAGGAUUAGAUACCCUGGUA
rnacentral:rRNA from 2 species